CCCUUAGAUGUUCUGGGCCGCACGCGCGCUACAAUGAUGAAUUCAACGAGUUUAUAACCUUGGUUGAAAAGCCUGGGUAAUCUUUUGAACUUUCGUCGUGAUGGGGCUAGACCCUUGCAAUUAUUGGUCUCCAACGAGGAAUUCCUAGUAAACGCAAGUCAUCAGCUUGCAUUGAUUACGUCCCUGCCCUUUGUACACAUUGCCCGUCGCUCCUACCGAUUGAGUGAUCCGGUGAAUAAUUCGGACUGCAGCAGUGUUCGGUCACGAACGUUGCAGCGGAAAGUUUAGUGAACCUUAUCACUUAGAGGAAGGAGAAGUCGUAACA
rnacentral:rRNA from 1 species